GCCCCAUGGUCUUUCCCUUUAUUCAAAUAAAGUAAAAGGGCUCCUCUGUCUCCUUUUUGGACAUAAACCUCUUGUGUUUAUGGAUUACUCUUCCUGACAAUUUUUGGGGGCUAGUCUGGGUUAUUUCCACCAUCUGGGGGGGCGGGCAGCGAGCGGAGCUGAAGGUGCGCCUCGCCCAGUUUUGGUGAUCAGCUCCCCUUGGUGGCCGCUGGCACCGGGCUAUCGAUUGGGUUCCCGAGACUGUCCAGGAGACAGAUGAGUGGCGGACCAGGGGGGUCCAUGAAGAGUCCACAGGGAAGGACCAGUGAAAAUUUCACCGGAAACUCAGCUGGCACAGACCCUGCCUUUGGACAAGUGAGAACCAAGAGACUGAGUCCUAAUUAAAGAGUGGAAAAAAGCACCACUGAUGGCAAAGUGGCGUGGACAUUUCCAAGUGUUGCUAAUCACAGAAACAGCCGUCAAGACAGCUGAACACAGGUGGACCCAUCACACUCAGGUCAAGGUCUCUAAAGCUCCAGAGAUUUGGACAUCUCAGAUGGAGGAGAAGGAUGGGAAGCCACGACUGACACUCUGCAGGAGUGAACUGGAACAUCAGCCGUGUGUCGACAUUAGGGGAAGCCCUGAGUGCCUACCCACAGACUGACUGCUGAAAUAGUCUGUAUGGGCAUCCCUACUCUCAGAUCUCCAGACACUGGGGGGCAAUCCAUGCUGUCAUUGCUUUCUUUAUGUUAAGCCGUUUCUGUGCCUUCACUCGCCACAGGUGGUGUAGAAGACAACGUGAAAGUGAAAAUUAGGUUAAGAAAUUAGAUUAUUACACUAUUAGAAUGUUUCUCUUAAUAAUUUUACCUUUAUAUUUUCAGUUAAGUUAGUGUCUAACGUGGGAAAAUAAUUUUUUAACCUUAAGAGAAGAAGUAGAAAAACCUUUAACCUUAGAAAUUGUUGGGUCUGCAGAGGGCCACGGAGAUCUGAAAACUGGCCAUGGGUGGCCAGCCCAGUCGAGCCUAAAUGGUGAGUUAGCACCUUGUGUGAAGUCCAUAAUGGAACAGGAUUUUGGGACAAAGAACAAAGUCCAUGGCAGCUUCAUUCUUCUGAAAGAGGCAUAUAUUGUCUAAUAGAACAGAAAGCACAUAUGUAGAAAAGAACGUUUGUGACUGGACUUUAUCUUUGAGUUUAGAUUCUUGGACCCCCAACUGCCCUCCUUAUGACUGUUCCAGAUAUCGAGGCAGAUGAAAUCAAAUGCAUAUUAAGCUCACUAAUGGUAGCUGGGUAAGGUGUUCCUUCCUUAAUUACAAAAAAAAAAGAUUUUGAAGGCUGCAAAGCAGUGGGGAAGGAUAAGUUUUUUGACCCCUUAUUUUUAAGUUGCCCCCGGGAUAAUUCCACAAGUAAGACACAGGUAGUCCAAGACUAUCAGUGUAAAAAUAGCAACACCUGAGUAGAACUCGAACCCCUUUUCAGUAGGUUCUGGUCCCGAUCUAAUAGAACAGAUCUGGGAUGUAAUUGCAAGUGGAAAAAUAAGAAAGUUAGCUCAUGUAUCAGUGCAAAGGUAGAAAGGAUAGGAAUAAGACAUGUUUUCAUAGUUACCUGGUGGCCUAUGAGUUAAACAGAUGCUUUUUUUCCUCUUAUGUGUUGUAACAACUCUAAUCUUUUUACUAUGCAUGAUCCCUUGCUUAAUACAACUCAUUCAACAUGUGAUCAAAAGAAUGUAGGUAGUAGCCGUGCCUACUGACCCAGAAAUGGCUACAAAAGGGC